AUAAGUAAUGUGAUGUGCAGAAUUCCGUGAAUCAUCGAAUCUUGGAACGCACAUUGCGCCCUCUGGUAUUCCGGGGGCAUGCCUGUCCGAGCGUCAUUGCGAACCCUCAAGCACGGCUUGUGUGUUGGGCCGCCGUCCCCUCGUUUGGAGGGGACGGGCCUGAAAGGCAGCGGCGGCGUCGCGUCCGGUCCUCGAGCGUAUGGGGCUCUGUCACGCGCUCAAGGAGGGGUCCGGCCGGGGCCAUAGCCUCUGAAGGUCAAUUCUUCCAAGGUUGACCUCGGAUCAGGUAGGAGUACCCGCUGAACUUAAGCAUAUCAAUAAGCGGAGGAAAAGAAACCAACAGGGAUUGCCUCAGUAACG
rnacentral:rRNA from 1 species